UACGAAGGGGGGCUAGCGUUGUUCGGAAUUACUGGGCGUAAAGCGCGCGCAGGCGGCUAUCCAAGUCAGUGGUGAAAGCCCGGAGCUCAACUCCGGAACUGCCAUUGAAACUGUUUAGCUUGAGGACGAGAGAGGUGAGUGGAAUUCCCAGUGUAGAGGUGAAAUUCGUAGAUAUUGGGAAGAACACCGGUGGCGAAGGCGACAUCCUGGACCGGUAUUGACGCUGAGGCGCGAAAGCCAGGGAGCAAACGGG
rnacentral:rRNA from 1 species